rnacentral:lncRNA from 1 species
GGGCCAUCUCAUGUGUUUCAUUAUGCAACAUUUUUGCAUCAGUAAUGAAUGGAUGUUUUUGUAGUUAAAAGCGGUGUUCCCUGUUUUUCAUUUAAUUUUGCAAUUUAAAAAAGAAAAAAAAACAAAUAAAAAUGGCAAUGUUUUUUCACUCUUUUUCCUUUUGAUUUUGUCUCGUUCCAAAGUAAUUACUCUCCUGAUCUCACCGAUAACGAUUUAGUUACACCUC